UACGUAGGGGGCGAGCGUUGUCCGGAUUUAUUGGGCGUAAAGAGCGUGUAGGCGGCCAGGUAGGUCUGCUGUGAAAACUCGAGGCUCAACCUCGAGACGUCGGCGGAAACCAUCUGGCUAGAGUCCGGAAGAGGAGAGUGGAAUUCCUGGUGUAGCGGUGAAAUGCGUAGAGAUCAUGAGGAAGACCAGUGGCGAAGGCGGGUCUCUGGACAGUUCCUGACACUGAGACACGAAGGCCAGGGGAGCAAACGGG
rnacentral:rRNA from 1 species